rnacentral:rRNA from 1 species
UACAGAGGGUGCGAGCGUUGUCCGGAAUUACUGGGCGUAAAGGGUGCGUAGGCGGGCUAUUAAGUCAGUGGUGAAAGCCCCAAGCUUAACUUGGGAACUGCCAUUGAUACUGAUGGUCUUGAGUACAUUUGAGGUGGGCGGAAUGUGUCAUGUAGCGGUGAAAUGCUUAGAUAUGACACAGAACACCGAUUGCGAAGGCAGCUCACUAAACUGUAACUGACGCUGAGGCACGAAAGCGUGGGGAGCAAACAGG